CCCGAGCCGCUGUAAAAGCUCAACCCAAUGAGAUUUUCCUGUAGAGGUUAGCGGCAAAUAACGCCAUACGAUAAGUAGGGGCGUUAUGUAGUGCCGGAUGAAAUGCCGGUGAA
rnacentral:sRNA from 1 species